GAAAGAAAAAGAGAAGGUUGACGAGCAGUAAUUCGAGAAUUUCGGUUUGUAUUUCUAUAACGGAACUUAAUAAUUAUUUUGAUACAUUAUUAUUACUAUGUAUGAUUAUUGGAAUUGAGUGUUUGUGAAAUUAUGAUUUAUGUGAUAUUUGAGCAUUGGUAUUGAAUUUAAAUUGAAUUAGUAUUUAAUCCGAAUUUAAUUAUUAAUUGUUUUAAUUUGGUUUAUAUGCUAUGGUAAAUAAUUAAGGUAAGUAUUAGUAAUUGUUAUUGAAUUGAAUUUAUAUGGAUACAUGUGAUUAAUUGAAAUGUGUAUUGGUUGAAAAAUUAAAAGUGAAUUGAACACCCUAUUAACAGUAUCGGGCUAAGUCGGAUAUAGUUGGCAUGCCAUAGGAUUGGAAGCGUUCAGGGAUACUUCGGCCUUGAGUCGAUGAGGCACUAUAAGUGUUUUACUGUUAUUGUUACUUCAAUUUAAUCCGAUGAGGUACUGAGUAUCGUACUGUUACUGUUUACUUCGGUAAAGCCGAUGGGGCACUAAGUGCUGUACUGGUGUGUUGGUUGGAUCCGUGUAUCCGUCAUUGUCCGAGUCAUGUUAAUAGGGGUAACCAAUUGCACUAAACGACUGAAUAUUUCUGAAUGGUUUAUUAUUACUGACGAACUGAUUGUAUUGAAUAUCAUUGAUUGGUUGAUGGCUACUAAAAUAUAUUGACUGAUACUGAGUUUGGAUUAGAAUGGUAUAUAAAUUGAAAAGUGAAUGAUUGAAUAUUUAUUAUUUUGAAAAGUUUGAAUAUAUAUAUAUUUACAUAUGUUUUGUAUUCAUUAAGUGUUCAGUUAAAGAAAUACCACUGAGUGCAUACUCAGCGUACGAUUUGUUUUUGUGCACAGGUUAGGUAAAAGACAAAGCAUUGAAUUAGCAUCCAAAGCUGAUCCCAAUCUCAAGACUUGGUGAUGUAUGUUUCAUUUUGGUAAUGGCAUGUACCUAGGAUGUCAAAUUUUGUUAUUUUGGAAAAUGUUUUUAAAUAGUGUUUUAAAAUGAUACAAACUAUAUAUAUUACUGAAAAUAUGAAUGGCAUGUUUAAGUUUAAGAACAUGAGUAUGAAAUAGGUAGUUUUGGAGUAAUAAUGCUAUAAAUAUAGAAAUUGGUUUGAAUAAUGAUUUGUUUUGGGUUGGUCUCGAUUUGAAACUUGCAGGGAAGGUUAGAUAUUUAUAAAGAGGUUAUAUUGAGUUUAAAAAAAAAUACCCGAACAAGUCCCGAUUCGAUUCUAACGCGUGAUUUGGACCUCGAGGGUCCAUUAUAGGGACUUUAUGAUUAAAUCAAGAUAAGUAUGUCUUUUCUUUUGAAUUAAUUGUAAAUUGUCUGAUAUAUUCUGUAAUGCUUCGUAACCCUGUUCAGGUGACGGUCUAGGGUUAAGGGGUGUUACAUUUAGUGGUAUUAGACCUAUUCAGGUUUAGUCGAUUCUAAGAUUAAAUUGAGUAUAGAAUUGAGUCUAGAGGUAAAUGUCAUAAUUAAGUCAAAUUUGAGUAGGGAUUGGAUGCUGAUAUAUUGAUUGUUUCUGUUUUAUAGUUAAAGAUGUCUGAUGAACACAUUGAAGAUACUGAUCGAGAAAUGUAUAGUGAAGAUGAUGAAUCAUAUGAUACAAAUGAAUUAAAAUCUACAACACCAAGUGUAAAUGCUGUAGGUAAUCAACCACCAAAUGUUAGAAGGGGUAAAACCCGAGAAAGAGAUAAUUCAAAAAUACUUAGAGUGAUAGUUGAUGCUCUUCAAUGAGCAGUGGGAACUAUACCUACUAUGACCUCUACACCUACAGUCCAACGAGCCCUGAUUAAAGAAAUGCGUAAAUAUGGUGCUACCGAAUUUUUGGGUUCAAAGGGAGUUAAUCCGACUAUAGCUGAAAACUGGAUAGAGGCUAAAAAGAGGAUUCUGAAACAACUUGAAUGCACCCCUCAAGAAAGUUUAUUGUGUGCCGUAUCUUUGUUACAAGGAGAAGCAUGCAUAUGGUGGGAAUUAGUAACGCAACAUCUGUUAGAAGAACAGAUAAGCUAGGACUUCUUUUAGAGAGAAUUUCAGAAAAAGUAUAUGGGAGAGUUGUAUAUAGAAGAUAAGAAACAAGAGUUUUUAAUGCCAAAAUAGGGUGAGAUGUUCGUAGUGGAUUAUGAACGGGAAUUCUUGAGACUUAGCAGAUAUGCAACUGAAUUUGUAUUAGCUAAAGCUGAUAAAUGUAGACGAUUUCUAUGAGGAUUGCACGAUGAAUUACAACUACAAUUGGUGUCUCUCCGAAUUACUGAAUUUGCAGAUUUAAUUAAGAGAGCCAAAAUGGUUGAACAAGUGUUGGGAUUGGAUAAAAAGCCUAAAAUUUUUUGUUCACUUGGGAAACGUCCCGGAACUACAAGUUCUAAUCCACAACCCAAUAGAUCAAAAGAAUCUCGAGGUAGUUGGAGUUUGGUUCUAUAUUAAAUAAAAGUGAUAGAAACUGUAAUAUUGAAAUUCUGGAAUGUCAACAUUGUGGAAAUAAACAUCGGGGAGAGUGUUGGAACUUAACUGGAGGUUGUUUCUGUUGUGGAUCCACCGAUCAUUUUGUAAAAGGCUGUCUAAGGAUUAAAAGUAUAGCACCGGAGGUAUCACAGAGAUCUGAAUCUGCUUCCAGAGGUCGAGGGUUAGGUCGAGGUGGUUCAGUUAGUACAGGUGGAGCUAGAAGAUCAAGUAAUGUUACUACUUAGCAAUCAGAGGCUAGAGCAUCAGCCCGAGCAUAUGUAGUAAGAACUUGUGAAAAAGAUGAUGCAUACAAUGUAGUGAUAGGUAUAUUUUUAUUGCACUUAGAACCUGUUUAUGCUUUAAUAGAUCCAGGAUUAUCACAUUCAUAUGUUAAUACAAAACUGGUUGAGUCGGAAAAUAUAAAACCUAAAAUGUCUAGAGUAAUUAUAGAGGUAUCUAGUCCUUUGGGGCAAACUAUGUUAGUGAAUCGAGUAUGUCGAAGAUAUCUGCUAAUGAUUCAGGAUAAAAUUUUUUCUAUUGAUUUGUUAAUUAUGCCAUUUGGUGAUUUCAAUAUUAUACUGGGUAUGGAUUGGUUAUCUGAGCAUGAGGUGAUUUUAGAUUGCUGCAAAAAGAAGUUCACUGUUCAGAAUGAGAGUGGUGAUCAGAUUGAGGUAAACGGUAUUCAGACUAGUGUGUCAGCCCGUAUUAUUUUGGCAAUUCAAGCUAAUAAACUUCUUCAUCAGGGAUGUACAGCUUUUUUGGUAUAUGUUAUUAAUUCGGAUGCAAUUGAAAGUCAAUGCAGUGAAAUCCGGACAGUUUGUGAAUUUUCUGAUUUUUUUUCUUGAAAAUUAUCGGGAUUACCACCUAACCGGGAGGUUGAGUUCGUAAUUGAAGUUUACCCGAGUACAUAUCUAGUGUCAAUACCUCCGUAUCAUAUGUCACCUACAGAGAUGAAAGAAUUAAAGGUACAGUUACAAGAUUUGUUGGAUCGUGGUUUUAUACAUCCGAGUACUUCACCUUGGGGAGCUCCAGUACUAUAUGUUAAAAAGAAAGAUGGUUCAAUACGAUUGUGUAUUAAUUAUAGGCAACUGAAUAAGAUAACAAUUAAGAAAAAAUAUAUGUUACCUCAUAUUGACGAUUUAUUUGAUCAGUUGAAAGGAGCUUCUGUGUUUUCGAAGAUUAAUUUAAGAUCGGGUUACUACCAGUUAAAAGUAAAAGAAAGUGGUGUACUGAAGACAAUAAUUCGUACGAUGUAUAGUCAUUAUGAAUUCUUAGUGAUGCCAUUUGGAUUAACAAAUGCCCCAGCUGCUUUUAUGGAUCUUAUAAAUCGAAUCUUUCAAUCGUAUUUGGAUCAGUUCGUGGUAGUUUUUAUUGAUGAUAUUUUAGUUUAUUCAAAGUCUGAAUCUAAACAUGAACAGCAUCUCCGAAUUGUUUUGCAAAUAUUACAGGAGAAGUAAUUGUAUGAGAAAUUAAGUAAAUGUGAAUUUUGGUUAUCAAAGGUUGUAUUUCUUCAUCACGUGGUAUCAACAGAUGGAAUUAAAGUUGAUCCAAAGAAGAUUGAAGCAAUUGUUCUGUGGAAAGCUCCUAAAAAUGUGUUAGACGUACGUAGUUUUCUAGGACUGGUUGGGUAUUAUCGAAGGUUCAUGAAUGGAUUUUCAAAUAUAGCCUUACCAAUGACAAAGUUAUUGCAAAAAAAUGUUUCAUUUGUUUGGGAUGAUCAGUACCAAGAAAGCUUUAAGAAAUUGAAGCAGAUGAGGCACAUGUUCUAACUUUACCAAAAUCAGGAAAAGAUUUUGUUAUAUAUAGUGAUGCUUCCUUAAAUGGACUUGGGUGUGUUCUGAUACAAAAUGGGAAGGUAAUAGCUUAUGCUUUUUGGCAAUUGAAACCACAUGAAUGUAACUAUCUGACACAAGAUCUGGAACUAGCAGCUGUGAUCUUUGCUUUGAAGAUAUGGAGACACUAUCUGUAUGGUUAAAAAUGCUACAUGUACACUGAUCAUAAAAGUCUCAAGUAUCUUUUAUUGCAGAAGGAAUUAAAAUUUGAGACAUCGUUGGUGGAUAGAACUUCUGAAAGAUUAUGACUGUGUUAUUAAUUAUUAUCUAGGGAAGGCAAAUGUUAUGGCUGAUACAUUAAGCAGGAAAGCAACGAGUGAAUUACGAGCAAUGUUUGCACAUUUCAGUAUUAAUGACGAUGGAAGUCUAUUGGUUGAAUUGAGAGUUAAAUCAGUGAUGUUUGAUCAAAUUAAGUUAGCACAGUUGGAAGAUAGUAAGUUGAUUAAGAAAAGAGAGAUGGUUUAGAAUGGUAUGAUAGAAAAUUUUAGCAUUGAUGAGCAUGAUUGUCUGAGAUUUCGUAAUCGAAUUUGUGUUCCAGCUAUUUUAGACCUGAAGGAGUCGAUACUUCGUGAGGCACAUGACAGUCCUUUUUCAAUACAUCCAGGAGGAACAAAAAUGUACCGUAAUCUACGAGAGUCUUAUUGGUGGCUAGGUAUGAAGAAAGAUAUAGUGGAAUAUGUGGCUAAAUGUUUAACUUGUCAACGAGUUAAAGCUGAACAUCAAGGUCCGAUAGGACUACUUCAGCCUAUUAAUAUUCCUGAAUGGAAAUGGGAUUGUAUUACGAUGGAUUUUGUAACAGGGUUGCCAUUGUCAACAAGUAAGAAAAAUGCAAUUUUGGUUAUUGUUGAUCGACUUACUAAAUCGGCUCAUUUUAUAGCUGUUAGAAUUGAUUGGUUACUUCAGAAACUUGCGAAAACAUACAUCCGGGAUAUCGUGAGAUUGCAUGGUAUUCCAGUAUCAAUAAUUUCUAAUCGGGAUCCACGGUUUACAUGGAGGUUUUGGAGACAAUUGCAUUAGUAUCUUGGUACUCAGCUCAAUUUUAGUACAACUUUUCAUCCACAAACUGAUGGGCAAUUUGAACGGCUUAUUCAGAUUUUAGAAGACAUGCUUCGUGCUUGUAUCAUUGACUUUGAAUCUAGUUGGGAACGUUAUUUACCAUUGGCCAAGUUUGUUUAUAAUAAUAGUUUGCAAUCUCGUAUUCAGAUGGCUCAUUAUGAAGCUUUAUAUGGUCAAAGGUGUCGAUCGCCUGUAUGUUGGGCAGAAAUGAAUGAAAGAAAAAUGAUUGGACCGAAAUUAAUCUAAGAAACAGAAGAUACUGUUAAAAAGAUUCGAGAAAGACUAAAAGCAUCUUUCGACCGAUAAAAAUCAUAUGCAGAUUUAAAACGUCAAGAUAUUGAAUAUUCUGUCAGUGAUAAGGCAUUCCUUAAAGUUUCACCUUGGAAGAAAAUUUUAAGAUUUGGACGAAAAGGAAAGCUAAGUCAUCGUUUUAUUAGGCUGUAUAAGAUUGUGGAAAGAGUUGGAUCAGUUGCUUAUCGAUUAGCUUUGUCUCCAGAUUUACAGAAGAUUCACGAUGUUUUUCAAGUUUCUAUGUUGAGAAGAUACGGACCUGAUCCCUCUCAUGUGAUUUCGAUAGAAGAUAUUGAUGUCGAAACCAUUUUUUUAUUUGAAAAAUGGGGAUCGACUUUAUAAAUGAAACAUGAAGUCACCACCAACCUUUAUUCAAGAUGUGAUUGGGUCACCUUAAGAUUAGUCAUGUAAAUAAAGCAUUUUGAUUUAUUAAAACAAUGACUUUGGUCUACGAAAUUUGAAAAAACAGGUUCGGGAGUCGAUUACGUACGAGGAAGGAUUAGCACCCUCGUUACGCCCAGAAUUAGUUCCUAAUUGAUUAAAUAGUGUCUUUAUGUCUAAAAUUUAAAAAGAUUUUGAAAUACGGUUUCUUUUAAAACAUUUGAAUAACUCGAAUUGGAUGUUAAAAUUUUCUUGUUUCGAAGGAAUAAAAUAUCACAUCCAGCACGUUAGGACAUGAUCUUUUAAACCCUAGAAACCACGAUCCAUUCUUGAUCUCCAAGAGCGCAUACAUUUGAAAAUUACAAAAAGAUAUUCGAUUAUUUGGUCCAGCGAAAAACUGAAACCCAAUACGUUAGGACACGAUUUCUCGAAUUCCAAACAUAGAACAUUGCCUUGUUUUGAAGUUUAGAAACACGAUCGAGAUUUUAAAGGAUAUUUGAUUAUUUAAACAAACGAAAAAUCGAAAUCCAGCACGUUAAGGCACGAGUUCCCGAAUUUCCAAACGUCAAACAUUGCCUUUGCUUUGGGAAAUUUUCAAAUAAAAAAUUAUAAAACCUGCCCAAAAUGCAUUUGUUGAUUUACUUGAAAUGAAAAAUGAGAUGACCAAUAUCAAUAAAAAUAUUGAAAUUUGAAUCACGAUGCAAUAAUGUAGAAAAAUCAAAGUUACAAACAUGGAACAAUAUCAUAGAUGAAAUAUUAUACAAAUGAAAAAAAAGAAGAAAUUAACAUAUACACAAUAGCAAUGAGCUCACAUCCAAAAAACAUAUUAGAAUAGAAUAUAACAAGUUUCGAACAUAGAUGAACAAAAAUUGAAAUAAUAAUACAAAAGACUAAUAAAUGAUAUGAAACAAUAAUACGUGAAAUAAUAUGAAAACUAAAAAAUAACACAUAAAAUACAAAACAAUAUGGAAAUUAGGAGUCAAUAUGAUAUAAAACAAUUUGAAAACUAUUGAAUAUAUGAAAAUUUACAAAUGAACAACACAUGAUAAAAGAAGAACAAACUAAUAAUAUAUAAAUGAUUAUUUAAAUAAAUAUUAUGAAAGAAGAAAUUUGGAGCAAAUAAUGUACGAAAUAUUUUAAAACAAAACAUGUCUACUUGAAGUUGAUAAUGUACAUAUAAUAAUAAUAAAACAUAAAUAUUAUAUAAUGGGGUAAUAGUACAUGAAAGAAUUUUAAAUAACAAAAAUAUGAUAAAAUAUGUUUUUGAAGAAUAAACUAUAUACAUAAUAGAUUUGAAAGGAAAUAUAUAUAAAUAAAUUUAAAAGAAAUUUUAUAUAAAAAAUAACAACGGAUUAAUAAUGUAUAUAGAAUGAAUAAUGGAUUUAAAAGGAAAUACUAAAGAAAUUAUAUAUAUAAAAUAACAUGGGAUUAAUAAUGUAUAUAGAAUAAAACUUAAUUGUAUCAUAAACUAUAUAUGUAUAAUAAUAUAUAAGGGUAUUUAAAUGAAAUAUUACACAAAAUUUUAAAACAAUAUGAUAUAUAAGAAUGUUUUAAAAUAAUAAUGAUAUAACUUAAAAAAAUUAAAAAAAACAAAUACAAGUAAAAUACUAAAUUUAAAUGAGAUAAAAAAUUAUUAAAGUAAUUCAAAAUAUAUAUUUAAAUAAUUUUUAAAAUAAAUGAAUACUAAGUAAAAUAAAAAAAUAAAAGAAUUACAUAUUGAAAUGAAAGAAAGACUCAAUUGAAAUAAAAUCAAAUUUAAUGGGAUAAUUAAUAAAUAAAAUAAAACAUUGAAUUAGAAUUAAGGACUAAAGCGCAAUGCACGCAAAUAUACGAGGAUUGAAAGAGUGAAUGAUCCAAAUCCCCAAAAGGUAGCGCUCGGGCGCGGACUAAAUUGAAAUAAUGCACAAAGUCCAGGGAAAAAUCAAAGAUACAAAAGAACCAUAAAUAGGACUCAAUCAAAUGACAGCGAAACAAGAAGGGACUAGAUGCGCAAUUCGCCCACUCAAGACAAAAACGCAUGGACCCUCUUUGCUGAUCGAGUCGACGCGCGGACCUAGCCUCAAACAAAACGGCGUCGUUCCUUACUCUUUACAAAACAAAAUUAAGAAACCCUAAAACUAAACAUUCAAUUACUUUAACAAAAUCAAAAUAAUAAAAAAAACCUAAAAUCUCUCCUUAUUCAUUCGGCUGAACCAAAAGGCACCGCUCAACAGCCAUUUUGCCUCCAUAUUCGGCAAACGGCAUCACACGAGGGCUUAAUCUGGCCUUAUUUGACGACAAAAUCAAGAUUUUUGCUAUGCUUAACCUCAACCCUCAUCUAAACUUCGAUUAUCACGAAGUAAACAAGGAUUCGAAGCCCUUAAAAAGAUAAGUAUCUACAUUCCUAUUUUUUUUUUUUUACAUGCAAUAACAAAAAUCAAAGAGAAAUAGAAGUAGAAUCAAAAGAAAAAAUAAAAUCUAAAAUCACCUUUUGAAAACUUUUUCCUGUUUUCAAACUUUUUGUAUUGAUUUUCAUCCCCUUUUUACAGAUUACAUUCCAUUCGGUUUUAUAGCUGAAAAAAUAAAUAAAAAAUACAAAUUUCAUUGUUGUCAUUUUGUUGUUAUUUGCUGCUUGCUCUUUUUGUUUGUUAGUCUGUUGCAGGCAUGUAUGGGGUUUGGCAGUUCAUGGGAAACCACUCGUGAAAGCCUGAUUCUUUGGCUGGCUGUGGUGCUAGCAUGUUCCAGAAACCUCUAGGGUUUUUGGUAUUCUUAAAUUGUUGGGCCCCUUUGGGCCAUUUUGGGCUUGUUUUAGUAGUGGGCUAUUGAAAGUUAGGCUAGGGAUUAAGUUGGGGGUUUUGGGUGUAAUGGGAUUUUGGGUUAUGGUUUAGGUCAAUAAAUUUAAGUUUUAUUUUGGGUUUCAAUUUGGGUCUCGGGUUUGGACCUUAUUGUAAAGUGGGUUUAUAAAUUGGGCUACCAGUGUAAAUGUAAAUGGAUUGGACUGUUUUAUGAUUUUUUUAUGAUUUUAUUUUAUUUUUUGUUUUGGUUUUUUACAUUUGGUUUAUAAGUCUAAAGGCACGGGCAAAAUGGGCCUUCUACAAUUGAAAUUCGACCCGAUUUGACAUACGAAGAGAAACCGGUUAGAAUAUUAGCUCGAGAGGUGAAAGAAUUGCGUAAUAAAUGAGUUCCUUUAGUGAAAGUGUUGUGGCGAAGUCAUAGUGUUGAAGAAGCAACAUGGGAACCGGAAGAGACUAUGAGAUCACAAUAUCCCCACCUCUUUUCAGGUAAAUUUCGUCGAGGACGAAAUUUAUUAAGGGGGAGAAAUGUAACAACUCGAAAUUUAAAGGUAUCGGAAAAGUAUAUUUUUGGAUCUCCGUUUUUGAAAAGCAAUUUCUUCAAUAUUUAUUAACAAUAUUUACGAAGCUAGUUGUGUUUUUAAUUAAGUUUUAAAUAGGUGAAUUUGACUUAAUUAGGAGUAAUUAAUAAAAAAGACUAAAUUGAAUAAAGGGUAAAAGUUGAAUUAUAUAUUAAAAUAAAAUAAAAGGACUAAAAGUGCAAUUAUACCAAAAGUAUAAAUUGAGGCGGUUUAUCGUGAGGAAAAUCUAAGAUUUUUAUGUUUAGUAUAUUAUUAUAUAAUAAAGAUAUUUGAUGUUUUAAUUAUAAUAUAUUAUUUUAUUUUAUUUUAUAUAUAUAAACUAAAGAAAAAAAAGAAAGGAAAUAGAAACAGAAUAGUGAACAAAAUAGAAAAAAAAGAAGAAAUUUAGGGUUUUUAAGGUUCAAUUUCAAAUUGGUAAGUCAAAUUAAGUCAUUUUCUUAUAAUUUUUGAGUUUUUAGAAACCUAGAACAAAAUAUGUCAUGGUUUAUGUUGAAAUUUUGUUAGUUGAUAGAUUUUUAAACAUGAGUUAUGUUGAAUUAAUUGAUGAAUUAGGGGUUAAUUAAUUGAAUUUCAAGUUAGAAGUUAGUAAAGGAUUAAAUUGUAAAAUAAAGUGUAAGUUUUUGAAUAGUAGGGACUGAAUUGAAAGAAUUUAAAAAUUAGGGAUUUAUGGCAACAUUGAAGAGUUAAAAUGAGUUUAUAGAAGAAAUUUAAUGAGAAUAUGGAAUAGUUUUAGUAAAAUAAAAAUUAGAAUUGAUUAUGGGAUUAAAUUGGAACUUAGAUAAAAUUUAUGUAUAAAAGGAAAUAUUAGAUGGAAUUAUGUGAUUGAUGAUUUUUAAUUGUUUAAUUACAUAGCUAAUAUCGUACCAGAGACUUCGACAAAGAAAGGAAAAGAGAAGAUUGAAGAGCAGUGAUUCGAGAAUUUCAAUUUGUAUUUCUAUAACCGAACUCAAUAAUUAAUUUGAUACAUUAUUAUUACUAUGUAUGAUUAUUGGAAUUGAGUGUUUGGGAAAUUAUGAUUUAUGUGAUAUUUGAGCAUUGGUAUUGAAUUUAAAUUGAAUUGGUAUUUAAUCAGAACUUAAUUAUUAAUUGUUAUAAUUAGGUUUAUAUGUUAUGGUAAGUAAUUAACGUAAGUAUUAGUAAUUGUUAUUGAAUUGAAUUUAUAUGGAUACAUGUGAUUAAUUGAAAUGUGUAUUGGUUGAAAAAUCAAAAGUGAAUUGAAUACCCUAUUAACAGUAUCGAGCUAAGUCGGAUAUAGUUGGCAUGCCAUAAGAUUGGAAGCGUUCAGGAAUACUUUGACCUUGAGUCGAUGAGGCAUUAUAAAUGGCGUACUAUUACUGUUACUUCAGUUUAAUCCGAUGAGGUACUGAGUACCUUACUGUUACUGUUUACUUCGGCAAAGUCGAUAAGGCACUAAGUGCUGUACUGGUGUGUUGGUUGGAUCCAUGUAUCCGUCAUUGUCCGAGUCAUGUUAAUAGGAAUAAUUAAUUGCACUAAAUGAUUGAAUAUUUUUGAAUGGUUUAUUGUUACUAACGAACUGAUUGUAUUGAAUACCAUUGAUUGGUUGAUGGCUACUAAAAUAUAUUGACUGAUAUUGAGUUUGGAUUAGAAUGGUAUAUAAAUUGAAAAGUGAAUGAUUGAAUAUUUAUUAUUUUGAAAAGUUUGAAUAUAUAUAUUUACAUAUGUUUUGUAUUCAUUAAGUGUUCGGUUAAAGAAAUACCACUGAGUGCAUACUCAGCAUACGGUUUGUUUCCAUGCUCAGGUUAGGUAAAAGACAAAUAGUUGAAUCAGCAUCCGAAGCUGAUCCCGAUCCCAAGACUUGGUGAUGUAUGUUUCAUUUGGUAAUGGCAUGUACCUAGGAUGUCAAAUUUUGUUAUUUUGGGAAAUGUUUGUAAAUGGUGUUUUAAAAUCAUACAAACUAUAUAUAUUCCUGAAAAUAUUAAUGGCAUGUUUAAGUUUAAGAACAUAUGAGUAUGAAAUAGGUAGUUUUGAAGUAAUAGUGCUAUAACUAUAGUAAUUGGUUUGAAUAAUGAUUUGUUUUGGAUUGGUCUCGAUUUGAAACUUGCAGGGAAUGUUAGAUAUUUAUAAAAGGGUUAUAUUGAGUUAAAAAAAAUACUCGAACAAGUCCCGAUUCGAUUCUAACGCGUGAUUUGGACCUUGAGGGUCCAUUAUAGGGACUUUAUGAUUGAAUCAAGAUAAGUAUGUCAUUUAUUUUGAAUUAAUUGUAAAUUGUUUGAUAUGUUCUGUAAUGCUUCAUAACCCUGUUCCGGUGACAGUCUAGGGUUAAAGGGUGUUACAAGUAUGCACCCACAAACUGAUGGGCAAACUGAAUGAGUGAAUGCAUUGUUGGAGACGUAUCUUAGGCACUAUGUGAGUGCGACACAAAAGGAUUGGCCAAAUUUGUUGGAUGUGGCUCAAUUCUCGUACAACUAACAACGAAGUGGGGCAACGAACAAGAGUCCAUUCGAGAUAAUGACGGGGCAACAGCCACUUACACCUAAUGCUAUUACAACUCGUUAUGCAGGACCGAAUCCAGCAGCUUAUUGAUUUGUAAGAGAUUGGCAAGAGCAAAAUGAUCUAGCUAGAGCUUGUUUACAUAAGGCAAGUAAGCGCAACAAGAAGUGGGCGGAUCAGAAUCGAAGGGAUGUGCAAUUUUAGGUUGGUGACCCAGUUCUUGCUAAACUACACCUACUUUUGCUACAUGAUGGUUUGCAUAAGGGACUUGUGCGACGAUAUGAGGGGCCAAUUCGAGUUGUGAAGAAGGUAGGCAAGGUGGCCUAUAAACUUGAGUUGCCGGAAAAGCUCAAAGUCCAUCCAGUAUUUCAUGUGAAUAUGCUUAAGCCAUUCCAUGAAGAUGGGGAAGACCCAAAUCGAAACAAGUCCGAACAAGCACCAAUGAGGGUAAAAGUCGCCUAUGAUCAAGAGGUUAAAAACAUCGAAGCAGAUCGUGUAGUCUGGCAGAAGCAUUAUCGACCGCAGCAUGAAUACCUGGUCCGAUGGAAGGGAUUUCCCGAUAGUAAGUCUAGUUGGGAACCCACUAAAGUCUUAUGGCAAUUCCAUGACGAGAUAGAUUGGUACCAUGCGGAAGACGCGACAAGGGCGUCGCUAGAUUCGGUGGGGGAUAAUGUCAUGAGUUGCGCAUGGGAGCCUGCAACCAUGACACAUUUGUGUGAUCCAUCAAGUGGGAAGGAGGUCAUUUGGCCCGAUCUGGCCCGUUGCUUGAAGAGUGAAGGUUCAUCUACAAGCUUGACACAUAUGGAAACAUAAUCUUCGAGGAUAUGCAAUCUUAGAUAUGAUAUGUAAUCUUAGAAUAUGGGAUUUUGUAAUCUUAGAGAUUUGAUUUGUAGAUAUCAUUUAAUCUUAGCCGUUGAUGUAUUUGAUCUGUACUGUCGGAUUUGGGGAGGCUAAACUAUAAAUAGAGGCCUCUCCCCUCAUUGUAAAUCAUUGAGUUUUUGAUCAAUAAGAAUUCUUGAGAGCAUUCACUCAAAUUUCUCUCUAUUGUGUUCUUAUUUUUCUGUGGCUUAUCCUUGUUUCGUUCUUCAUUCAUCUUGUUUGGCUUCAAGUUGCUUUCGUUUGAGUUGGGUUUUUGUAGAGGAAUUCUGUUGAAUCCGCAUAUUGUGGGAGUUAGGCUGACUUAGGUGUUUUUGGAGCAAGAAACUACCUAAGGCCGCAUGGAUUGUGAGGCAAAAAUCCUAAGUCCGUGACACUAGGUUUAUAAAGAAGAGUGAAAUUUUUUUUACACCCCUUUCAUCCACUAUUUUAUUUUCUUUCUCACCCCCAACAAAAAAUGAAAACUACAAUAAAGAUAAACUAAUCAAUACCUAUAAAUAUUUUAAUCUAUGCAGGAAAAUUCUAAAAAAAAUAAGUCAGACCUAGAACCCUAAUCAAAAACCCCUAACCUUGCAUCGCCAUCAAAAUCAAGACACUGAUUAGGGCCACCACCUACAUACAUUUUAUGAAGGCUAAAUAUAAAUUCAUGAUUUCAUCAUAAAAUAAGGGAACGCAUUUCGUUUUUAGUAGAACAAUAAGUUUGAUCUUCUUUGUCAUAAUUCAGAGAAGUGUCGGUUUGUUCAAAAUUUCAUUAUCACUUUGGACUUCAUCACUGGUUUUGUUAUCCGAAAAGCAAAGUUAGUUCUCUGAUUCCUCUACUGUUACUUGACUUAGAUGGCUGAUAAAGUUUUGCUGAUAAUUUUCAUUCACAUUCUAAAAUAUUUCCCAGCCAGUAAAUCUCAUUUGUGCAAUUAUAAACUAGAUUCGGGUUCCUCCCGAGGCUACCAAAAGAGGACAAGUUAUACUCCGGGAGAGAAAGAAUCCUUCCUAAGGAUUUAGAAAUCUUUUGGCAUGAAAUAUACACAUUUUCAUCCCCAUUUAUUAUCAUCUCGGAUAGAUGUAUCUUCGCCUCGAUAUAUAAUGUUGGGAAAAGUCAAUAGUCUCAGAUUUUGUGCCUAAUUUGGAGCCUUUUUAGCUUGCUUGGCUUUUCUCCUUUUUUGACACCGAAAGAUGGUCUCGUGAUUCAUUCGAUAAAGAAGUGAUAUUUAGUUGGAGAACUCAUCCCAAUAUAUUCCUUAACUCCUCUAUUGUUCCCUAAGGUUUGUCGCUCACUCAAUAAUCUUCCAAAUAUACCAUCGGUGGGGUUUCUUUGUUGCUUCCUUCCUAUGACAUGUUUCCACUUUCUUUUUAUUUCAAAAAGAAAAUAGUGGGAACCACCUUUAUAAAGUAUAGAGACUAGUUUUAAUAAAUAAAAAAUAUAGAAAAACUAUGUUAAAGGAAAUGAAAUGAAGGAAACAAAAGGAGAAGAAGAAGAGAAUGAAAAAUAAAAAAAAUAAAAAGAAAGCUAAAAGAUAAAAAAAAUUAAAUUACUCAAAACGAAAAAAUAUGAGGACCAAUUAUAGAAUUUAACAUAAAAAAAUUUAUUUGAAAUGAUGAUUUAACGUGCCAUGUCAGUUUAUUGUUACACUGUUAACGGUAACUAAUGGCUCAAUGACUAAAAUGUUACAAGAUGAUAACGUAAGUGACUAAAACGUAACAUUUCAAACAUAAGUGUCUAAAAUGUAACUUGAAGUAAAUAAAAGUGACUAUUUUGGUAGUUUACCUAAAAAUAAUAAGUACCAAGUUGAGAGUCAAAUUCAAGGGUCAAAUGAGUAUUCAAGCCAUUGAACCAACAAAAAAAUCAAUUGAACCGAUUUUUUUUUGUUUUUUAAAAAAAUUAUAAAUUUUUUAAUAAUUUAUUUAAUCAAACUGAAAAUUUUGAUCAAAUUGGAAACUGGUGGCCUAAUGAGUUUGACCAUUAAUUUGGUUUUGAAGAAAGAAGAAAAUAAAAAUUAAAAAGAAUAUAUAAAAAAGAAAAUAAUAUUUUUUGACAUUUUUCACAUGUCAAUUUUUAAUUGGUUAUCUUUUUUUAAAAAUAGAUUUAAUUAUUUAACUAACGAUUGAACUAAUAGGAACUCUCGUGAUUGGCUUGGUGGUAAAGGGUUGUUCACCCAUAGAACCCACUCGGAUUCAAACUUUUAGGAGAACAAGUGGUAAGUCUUUAUUUGGACAGCUCCCUUUGAGCGUAAUUAGUGCGUGUGUGGUGUGAGUAACCAUUUAAUUGUAUCAAUAUAAUUUAGAUACCAAUUUAUAGGUUAAGCUGAUUUUUUUAAACAAUAAAUAUUAAUUUUGUUGAUAUUUGAAAGAUAUAAAGAUUAAUUUUAUGAAUUAUAUGUAAAAAAGAAUAUAUGAUUAAUCAUGAAAUGGGAUGAAUUAUGAAUGUUUUAAAUUAAGGUGGUGGUGGGGAAUGUGGUAUUACAAACCCAACUGUAUUAUUCUCAAUUCAUCCUUCCAUAAGGCACUUUGGAAAAGAAAGAUUCAAUUCAGACUUGGGGUUGGGCCCCAUACAGACAGCCAUGCUCACAAAUUAUUUUUCAUUAUUUCAAAUACUAUCUUCAAAAUAAUUUAACAAUUCUAUAAAAAGAGAAUACUUUUUUUUUUAUAUAAUAUAUAUAACAUUAGAUUAUAGCAAAUUUGGUAAAAUCUAUAUUUAUCUUUUAAAUUAAUAUUAUUUUUUUAAAGAUUAUAUCACAAAUAGAAUAAAAUUACUCAUGACAACAAACUAAACAUUUAUAAAUAUAUUAGAAAUUAUAUCACACGCGUAUAUAUGAGGAAACUAUGUAUUUAGAACAUAGAUAUUAGCUUAAGUAUAACAUAUAAUAUAUAAUAAAACAUAAGGUUUAAAACUGAUUAAUAAUAACAUAUGAAAUAUGUACGAUAUUAAAAAGGUGAAAGUAUCUUCAAAUAAUAUAACUUAUUUUAAUUACGGAAGGAUAUUUUCGUGAUUUCCCUAAUCGAGUUGUGCCUGGAUAACUCGUGACACUAGCUAUACAAUUAAUAGAGAUAAUAAAUUGUGCAUAUUAAAAUAAGAAUAUAUAUAUAAAAAAUUAAAAUAAAAACUUUGGUUGGGUGAUAAAUUUAAGGUUUUAUUAAUUUAAUCAUCAUGGGUCCAAAUCCCACUAUAUGAAUAUUUUAUAGGCUUUGUUAAAAUAAAAGACUAAAGUAUCAUCAAAUAAUAUAAUUUAGUUUAAUUAUGGAAUGAUAUUUUCGUAAUUUUCUUAAUCGAAUUAAUGCUUAAUUGACUCAUGACACCAACUCAAUUAAUAACUUAAAUAAUAGGAUAAAUGAUACAAUCCAGAAGUUUACCAAAAAUGCUUCAAAUUUAAAAGUUAUCAAAGAUGAUACAAAUUAUUAAAGUUGAGCUCAUCAUAAAAAUGUAUUUUCUUUGGAUUUAAUUUAAAAAGGUUAAAAAAAAUAUUUUAAAUUAAUAUUUAUUAUUUUAUUAAAUUAGAAUCUAGAUAUAAGUAACAUCAAUUCAAUUCAAUCAAAAUUAGGAUAGAUUAUAACACAUAUAACAUGAAUAUGCAAGUUGUUUUACUUUUUGAAAGUUGAAUGUAGGAAUGGAUAGGUAGAAGGGGUUUGUAAAAAUAAAAUUUAUUGCAUCUGAAUUAGGGGUCGAGCUUGAUACAAAACUUGAUUCUUGAAUGCAUCAAAUUAUGUUUAAAAUUUUUCAAAUGAAUGAAUGUCUAUUUUAAUUCAAAUCAAUUCCAUGGUUUAAAUAAGGAGACGGAUGGAAUUGAUGGAAAGAUGCCAAACCCCGCCCCCAUAAAUGAUUCACUAUUCACACGUAACUCUCUCGCCCUCCACGCUUUCGUCUUCUUCCAUCCUUACUCUCAUCCUAAAAUCGUUUCCAUAAUUACAAUCUAUACAUAUUUUGAAUCAAUUACAUUAAAGUUUUAAUUGUGAAGCCUGAAAAUUUCAUCAAAAUUUGAGUUUUCUUAAUAAUGCAAGCGAAUUUCAUUAAGAUUUUAUAAUUAAUAUUGAGUAAAUGAUAAAACAGAAUCUGUACUUUCCAGGUUGAUUAGAUCCAUGUAAAAGCAUGCAUCAAAUUCAGAAAAUGAAUCCUUGGAUCUCUGAUGACAAAACCAAAAAAAAAAAAAAGAGGAUAAUAAAUGAUUAAUGCACAAAAAAGAAAGACAUUAUUUACACAAACUUUAGAAACAAAGAGUUUUCACAAUAACAAAACAGUUCCUUUUUCCACAUUACACACAGUUCCAUCCCAGAUUCAUUUUUAAUCAAAAUAAAAAACCACAAUCCCAAUUAACUAAUAAAAAAUAUAUAUAUAAAUAAAAAUAAAUCCCCAAAGAUUCUAAAUUUAUAAAAAUAAUUUUUCCAAUAAAGAAGAAAACAAAAUCCAACCCCAUUGAUCAUUUCAAAGCUUCAAUCAGAAUAAGGCUUGGUCUUGGACCGGUAAAGGAGUUUCUUCUUCUUUGAUGUUUGAUUAUCAAUGGUGAGAACAACCUUUCCAGGCUCACCGGUCUUGAAGCUAUCGGAGAUCACGGUUUCAUCGGCCAAAGAAACUUUCCUUGUUUUCGAUACGAUCACGGUAUACCCAUCUUCGGCGGUCGGCACGAAUUCGGCUCCGUAAUUGACUUCCCAUCCCACUACUCGGAGUUCCCAAACCAGAUUACAAUUCUGCUAAUUCAAAUACCAUAUAUUGUUAUUACAUGAAUGGCAUACUGAAUUGACAAUUUUAGUAAAAUGAUACAAAUGAUACCUCAGUUAUAAGGAAUUCAACACUGUGCUUCGCUGCUGGCUUGAUUGUAACCUCUGUGACGGCAUCGGCCACGCUAAAUUCUUGUUCACCUUCUCUGCUCAGUCCACCAUAUUGAACUGGUACUUGCUCCGGAGCAAUAUAUCUAAUAUUUACCCCAAAAAAAUUUUGAAGUUAUAUGAAACACUAUGCACAAACUAAUUAUCUAUUUAUGAUUAAAGAUCCAUUCAUAUUAAUCAAACAUAUUGCAAUAAACGGCAAAUUAAUGUCUAGAGUAAUAAAUAUAAACACUUGUUCAAGGGCCCUUUUUAUGGUCAUAGAUGAAAUGAUACCAAUGUUCAUAAAUAGAUUCCUAUAUGAGAAGGUCUUGGAUUACCAUUUGAUGAAACAAGCAAAAUUAAAAGGAGGAAAUGAAUGAAAUCCACUUACUUGAAGAGGGUCUCAGCAGAUUUGGCUGGACUUGCAAAUACGAACUUGCUCUUGGUUCUCUGAGUCAGGAAAGGACUGAUCAUCCUAUUGAAAGCCAAGUACCACCAUGGAACGUUGAUGAACACCUUCAAAAAUCCAGCACCAACAUCUAUAUCAGUUCAAACUUUAACAAACAAACAGAAAUGAUCUGACAAAGUUAAAAAAUCAUACUUGUUUGGCCACAAAUUCGGGAUAGUUAUCUUGAAGCAAGUUAAGGGCUUGGUUGGUAGCUUGUCUGAGUUCCUUUUUACCAGGUCCAGGUGAAUUCUUGAGGUCGUUCACUUGAACCAUGGUAUUGAUACCAGUAGGAUUGAAGUCGAGUUUUCGGAUGCUCUUUUCCAGGAACUGAAUCCUCCAUCUCAAGAACUUGGAUCGUUUUUCUUCAUCAGCGAAAGUGUUUUGAUACAGCUCUUUGUUUUGGAAUUCUCCAUAGACGUUGUAACAGACGGGAUGACCUUCUUUAUCGAACCCCUGCAUAAAAACAACCUUUUCUAGUUCGUUCCCUAGAUCUUCAUCGAGCAAGGUUUCGAUUCCGAAUUCUUUUCGCCAGCUGACAGUGUUUUUGAUCAUAGUGAAUGCGUCCUUCACCUUGAAAUCUCUUGCCCUCAAGAAUUUCAACAAGAUCACGUCGCUUUUCUCUUCUGCGAGAAGUGGGAUCCCCCAUAUGGACACCUUCUCGGGUGGAGGUGGAGGAACUUGGGCUUCUUUGGUCUCUUCGGAUUGAGGAGCCACUUCGGCGGGGGGCUCCUCCUUUUCUUUCUCUGCCGGAGGAGCGGCAACAGCGACUACAGACUCCUCAAUCGCCUCCACCGUCUUGGCGCCAUCAUCGUCUACGGCUUUCGCUUUUUCAGCUACCUCUGUUUCCACUACAACCACUUCGGCCGCAGGAGCAUCGGCUGGUGGUGGUGGAGGAGGAGUAUUCUCUUCUUCCUUGACUUCAACAGCGGCGGGUGCAUCCGUUUCUACCUUGGGUUCUUCUGAAAUUGCAGCAGCAGGUGUCUCUUCCUCUUUUUCUUCUUUUUUCUCUUCCUUGUUUUCUUCUUCUUCUUUCUUUGGCUCAGGCUCAGGCUCAGCUACAGGUUUUUCUUCUGCUUUGGGUUUGGCAGUGAACUCGUGGUUGUUAAGGGCUUCUUGAAUAAGCUGCUUAAGCUCAUCAAGGGCCUUCUUUUGAGGCUCAGGAAGUUCACCAGCGAUAUUAGUUUCCUCUUUGAAAGAAACAGACUGGGUUAUCUUAGUUUCUUCCUUUUCUUCAACCUUGGGCUUCUCAACUUCAACAGCUUCUUCUUCAACAGCAACAACAGCCGGCUUCUCGGGCACCUCAGGUUCCGGCAGGGGAGCAGGUGCGGAGGGUUGUGGCUCUUUCUCAGUAACUUGAGGCUUCUCGACAACCACAGACACCUCCUGGGCGGGGGCAGCAGGUGCAGAUUCAGAGUCAAGAGUCUCCUGGGCCAUGGGUAAGUAAGAGAGGAAGAAUGAAAGUUGUAAGAAAGGGAGAAGAAUGAAGAGGGGGCUUAAAAAUGGAAGAAACAAGAGUGUGAGAGUGGAAUGACAGCUAGCUUAUCUUAUAGGAGUGAGUUAAGGAGUGGACCCCCGACAUUGUUCCUCUUCCAUUUCCAAACCGCUAUCUUUGCCACUUCUUAUGCGCUGCCAUUUUCCCUUUUUUUCACUAAUUUUCAUUUUUUUUUUCUGUUCAAUCUUGGCGUUACAUCUGCGCUUAUUUUGGUAAUCAAUCCCUACAUACGGUUAAGUUUCAAGUCCAAAUACAUUCAGCUCAAUAUUUUAAUUAAAAAAUUACUCUUGCGUAUAACAUUUUUUACUGUCAAUUACAAAUAGAUUUUUUUACUCAAAAAAAUCUACGUGUAGUGUGUCAGCCAAUAAUGGAAGAACAAAAAUACUAAUAAUAGAGGGGAUUUCUUGUCACACCUCUGGCAUACCUUUAUUUAUUUUCACUAUCCAUUUAAAAUUAUCAUUUUUAUUUAAAUUUAAAUAAGUUGAGGUGGAAAAUAAAAAUAAAAAAAUUUUGAGGUGACCCACUUAUGACACAAGGAGUUGUAAUUAUUUUGUUUAUAAAGUUGAAAGUUAUCAAGAUUUGAAUUUUAAACAUUGUGCUUAAUUUGUUGAAAUUAAUUCAAACUAAAACAGGAAAAAUGAGAGUGAAGCCACCUCAUCGUGAGGUAUGCAAUUUGCAAAUCUUACUUGGGAUUUAAAAUUCUAAUUACAAAGAUUAUUUCCUUUCACCCUUGCCUUUUCUACCAAAAAAAAAUAAUAUUAUAUUACCAAAUUUAAAAUUAUAUUCCUUAAGCACAUCACAAAUAUAUUUAUAUAUUUAUUUUUAGUUUAAAUUAAUAAAUCAUUUCUUGUUUGGUUAUAUUUUAACAUUUUUAUCUAAAUUAACAUCUAUGUCAAAAUUAAAUAAUAUUAAAAAUUAUUAACUCUUUAUAAAAUCAUAUUGCAUCCAAAUAUUUUUAUUUUAAAAAAUAAUAACUGAUUGUUAAUAUCUAGAAAACGAAUUUUAAAAAAGAUUUCAAAAAAAAAAAAGAAUGAUAAUUUUUUUUUAAUUUCUUAAAAAUAAAUUUAAAAUUAGAAACUUCAGAGUCCAAAAAUGAUCUCUUAUUUCCUAUUUUUAUAUUAUUUUAGGAUUAAUAAAUUUUUAUUUGAUUAUGGGAUCUGUUUUAGUGUAGAUAUAAAGAAGAUCGGAAGU
rnacentral:lncRNA from 1 species